CACCCCAACACUGGUCAACUGCUUACAAAUGUAACACCAGCUGUGAAUGUUGGUUUAUUUAUAUAUAAAUUUUUUUGGGAAUAGACGAUUUCUGAGGUUUGUUUUUUUUCUGUGUUGGUGUAGUGUACUCAGGUGAAUAUGAUAUUUGUGGUGUUACUCUGAGUGCAUAUCCACACCGGGCGAGCUUGAAAAAUAUGCCCGGCCA